GCCCUAGUAGCUUAUAUCAAAGCACCGGUCUUGUAAUCCGGAGAUUGGAGGUUAAAGUCCCCCCUAGCGCC
rnacentral:tRNA from 1 species